rnacentral:piRNA from 1 species
UGGGUUCCUUAAUUAUUCUAUGUAGAGCA